UACAGAGACUGCAAGCGUUAAUCGGAAUUACUGGGCGUAAAGCGUGCGUAGGCGGUUUGUUAAGUCUGUUGUGAAAGCCCUGGGCUCAACCUGGGAAUGGCAAUGGAAACUGGCGAGCUAGAGUCAGGUAGAGGGUGGUGGAAUUCCCGGUGUAGCGGUGAAAUGCGUAGAGAUCGGGAGGAACAUCUGUGGCGAAGGCGGCCACCUGGACCAUGACUGACGCUGAGGCACGAAAGCGUGGGGAGCAAACAGG
rnacentral:rRNA from 1 species